GGAAAUCAACGGUGCUACAAAGUUACUCAUUUUCAACCAAAUUAUUAGUAACAAUUUAGGAAUUAUUGACUCAACUAAGCUGUUCCUGACAAAUCCUGCGCUUCUCUCCUUCAGGUCAGGGCUUACGUAUACCAUUGAAGAGCUGUUGAGCACCCCUGGUAAAAACUGGAAUGCUUCUGUUGGUGUUUGCAAGAAUCUGGAACUUCUCCUAUCAAGACCAAAACCAAACCAGAUGAAACAGCACCUUGCGAAAACAGGAAAACCCACCCUUCACAAGCUUGACAGAAUACCACUUCCAAGUUACAGAACUUUCAAAUAGUUCUGAACUGAAACCUCUGAACCCAAAGGGGCAGAACUGGCUGAAGAGGAAGGCGUACCAGGCUCCGCAGCGCCCGAAGGCUGGAGAUGAAUCCCUGCGGCCCCCCCUCCUGGCGGCCUCCCCGGCCCGCUGCCCCACUCUAGCGCUCACACCUGGAAGAACCACUUUGAACUCUCCUAGCUGUUGCUUCUGGCAACCACCUUCCCAUUAUUAUAUAAUAUGCUUAUAUGGUUUGCUGUUGAUUUCUCCAUCGUUGAUGGUAUCAAUUCUCUGUUAUGAUGGAU
rnacentral:lncRNA from 1 species